AACGAACGCUGGCGGCAUGCCUAAUACAUGCAAGUCGAACGAUCACUUCGGUGGUAGUGGCGCACGGGUGCGUAACGCGUGGGAAUCUGCCCUUGGGUUCGGAAUAACGUCGGGAAACUGACGCUAAUACCGGAUGAUGACGUAAGUCCAAAGAUUUAUCGCCCAGGGAUGAGCCCGCGUAGGAUUAGCUAGUUGGUGGGGUAAAGGCCUACCAAGGCGACGAUCCUUAGCUGGUCUGAGAGGAUGAUCAGCCACACUGGGACUGAGACACGGCCCAGCCUCCUACGGGAGGCAGCAGUAAGGAAUAUUGGACAAUGGGGGCAACCCUGGUCCAGCAAUGCCGCGUGAGUGAUGAAGGCCUUAGGGUUGUAAAGCUCUUUUACCCGGGAUGAUAAUGACAGUACCGGUAGAAUAAGCCCCGGCUAACUCCGUGCCAGCCGCCGCGGUAA
rnacentral:rRNA from 1 species